UAUNGGUCAAUGGACGCGAGUCUGAACCAGCNAAGCAGCGUGAAGGAUGACUGCCCUAUGGGUUGUAAACUUCUUUUAUAUGGGAAUAAAGUUUUCCACGCGUGGAAUUUUGUAUGUACCAUAUGAAUAAGGAUCGGCUAACUCCUUGCCAGCAGCCGCGGUAAUACGGAGGAUCCGAGCGUUAUCCGGAUUUAUUGGGUUUAAAGGUAGCGUAGGUGGACAGUUAAGUCAGUUGUGAAAGUUUGCGGCUCAACCGUAAAAUUGCAGUUGAUAAUGGCUGUCUUGAGUACAGUAGAGGUGGGCGGAAUUCGUGGUGUAGCGGUGAAAUGCUUAGAUAUCACGAAGAUCUCCGAUUGCGAAGGCAGCUCACUGGACUGUUGACUGACACUGAGGCUCGAAAGUGUGGGUAUCAAACA
rnacentral:rRNA from 1 species